rnacentral:rRNA from 1 species
UUAAAUUGAAGAGUUUGAUCAUGGCUCAGAUUGAACGCUGGCGGCAGGCCUAACACAUGCAAGUCGAACGGUAACAGGAAUCAGCUUGCUGAUUCGCUGACGAGUGGCGGACGGGUGAGUAAUGUCUGGGAAACUGCCCGAUGGAGGGGGAUAACUACUGGAAACGGUAGCUAAUACCGCAUAACGUCGCAAGACCAAAGAGGGGGACCUUCGGGCCUCUUGCCAUCGGAUGUGCCCAGAUGG